rnacentral:rRNA from 1 species
GAUGAACGCUGGCGGCGUGCCUAACACAUGCAAGUCGAGCGAUUCUCUUCGGAGAAGAGCGGCGGACGGGUGAGUAACGCGUGGGUAACCUGCCCUGUACACACGGAUAACAUACCGAAAGGUAUGCUAAUACGAGAUAAUAUGCUUUUAUCGCAUGGUAGAAGUAUCAAAGCUUUUGCGGUACAGGAUGGACCCGCGUCUGAUUAGCUAGUUGGUAAGGUAACGGCUUACCAAGGCGACGAUCAGUAGCCGACCUGAGAGGGUGAUCGGCCACAUUGGAACUGAGACACGGUCCAAACUCCUACGGGAGGCAGCAGUGGGGAAUAUUGCACAAUGGGCGAAAGCCUGAUGCAGCAACGCCGCGUGAGCGAUGAAGGCCUUCGGGUCGUAAAGCUCUGUCCUCAAGGAAGAUAAUGACGGUACUUGAGGAGGAAGCCCCGGCUAACUACGUGCCAGCAGCCGCGGUAAUACGUAGGGGGCUAGCGUUAUCCGGAAUUACUGGGCGUAAAGGGUGCGUAGGUGGUUUCUUAAGUCAGAGGUGAAAGGCUACGGCUCAACCGUAGUAAGCCUUUGAAACUGGGAAACUUGAGUGCAGGAGAGGAGAGUGGAAUUCCUAGUGUAGCGGUGAAAUGCGUAGAUAUUAGGAGGAACACCAGUUGCGAAGGCGGCUCUCUGGACUGUAACUGACACUGAGGCACGAAAGCGUGGGGAGCAAACAGGAUUAGAUACCCUGGUAGUCCACGCCGUAAAC